UAAAAAACUAUGACAGGAAUCAAGUAGAUAUAUAAUAUUCAAAGAGAGUGAUGUUUGCUGUAAAUUCACAAUAUUUAUAUAUUGAAAACUCAUCCUCGAGUUAUUAGCUGAAAUAUCAGUAGGCUACAUCGGUUGAACCCGUUAUUUUAUAAAGAAAAAAUUUGGAUGGUACCGCGGUAUUGUUUCUCGCUCCAAGA
rnacentral:ncRNA from 1 species